rnacentral:rRNA from 1 species
GACGAACGCUGGCGGCGUGCCUAAUACAUGCAAGUCGAACGCAGGGGGGACGGGUGAGUAACACGUGGGUAACCUCCCAUCAGAGGGGAUAACACUUGGAAACAGGUGCUAAACCGAUACUGAUGGAUGGACCCGCGGUGCAUUAGCUAGUUGGUGAGGUAACGGCUCACCAAGGCCACGAGGCAUAGCCGACCUGGGAGGGGUAUCGGCCAAACUGGGACUGAGACACGGCCCAGACUCCUACGGGAGGCAGAAGUAGGGAAUAUUCGGCAAUGGACGAAAGUCUGACCGAGCAACGCCGCGUGAGUGAAGAAGGUUUUCGGAUCGUAAAGCUCUGUUGUUAGGGAAGCGGUACCUAACCAGAAAGCCACGGCUAACUACGUGCCAGCCGCCGCGGUAAUUC